rnacentral:rRNA from 1 species
GAUGAACGCUGACAGAAUGCUUAGCACAUGCAAGUCAACUUGAAUUUGGGUUUUUAACUUAGGUUUGGGUGGCGGACGGGUGAGUAACGCGUAAAGAACUUGCCUCACAGCUAGGGACAACAUUUAGAAACGAAUGCUAAUACCUAAUAUUAUGAUAAUAGGGCAUCCUAUAAUUAUGAAAGCUAUAAGCGCUGUGAGAGAGCUUUGCGUCCCAUUAGCUAGUUGGAGAGGUAACGGCUCACCAAGGCGAUGAUGGGUAGCCGGCCUGAGAGGGUGAUCGGCCACAAGGGGACUGAGACACGGCCCUUACUCCUACGGGAGGCAGCAGUGGGGAAUAUUGGACAAUGGACCAAGAGUCUGAUCCAGCAAUUCUGUGUGCACGAUGAAGUUUUUCGGAAUGUAAAGUGCUUUCAGUUGGGAAGAAAGAAAUGACGGUACCAACAGAAGAAGUGACGGCUAAAUACGUG